AGCUUGCUGGGAAUGAUUAGUGGCGGACGGGUGAGUAACAUUUAGGAAUCUGCCUAGUAGUGGGGGAUAGCUCGGGGAAACUCGAAUUAAUACCGCAUACGACCUACGGGUGAAAGGGGGCGCAAGCUCUUGCUAUUAGAUGAGCCUAAAUCAGAUUAGCUAGUUGGUGGGGUAAAGGCCCACCAAGGCGACGAUCUGUAACUGGUCUGAGAGGAUGAUCAGUCACACCGGAACUGAGACACGGUCCGGACUCCUACGGGAGGCAGCAGUGGGGAAUAUUGGACAAUGGGGGCAACCCUGAUCCAGCCAUGCCGCGUGUGUGAAGAAGGCCUUUUGGUUGUAAAGCACUUUAAGCAGGGAGGAGAGGCUAAUGGUUAAUACCCAUUAGAUUAGACGUUACCUGCAGAAUAAGCACCGGCUAACUCUGUGCCAGCAGCCGCGGUAAUACAGAGGGUGCGAGCGUUAAUCGGAAUUACUGGGCGUAAAGCGAGUGUAGGUGGCUCAUUAAGUCACAUGUGAAAUCCCCGGGCUUAACCUGGGAACUGCAUGUGAUACUGGUGGUGCUAGAAUAUGUGAGAGGGAAGUAGAAUUCCAGGUGUAGCGGUGAAAUGCGUAGAGAUCUGGAGGAAUACCGAUGGCGAAGGCAGCUUCCUGGCAUAAUAUUGACACUGAGAUUCGAAAGCGUGGGUAGCAAACAGGAUUAGAUACCCUGGUAGUCCACGCCGUAAACGAUGUCUACUAGCCGUUGGGGUCCUUGAGACUUUAGUGGCGCAGUUAACGCGAUAAGUAGACCGCCUGGGGAGUACGGCCGCAAGGUUAAAACUCAAAUGAAUUGACGGGGGCCCGCACAAGCGGUGGAGCAUGUGGUUUAAUUCGAUGCAACGCGAAGAACCUUACCUGGUCUUGACAUAGUGAGAAUCUUUCAGAGAUGCGGGAGUGCCUUCGGGAAUUCACAUACAGGUGCUGCAUGGCUGUCGUCAGCUCGUGUCGUGAGAUGUUGGGUUAAGUCCCGCAACGAGCGCAACCCUUUUCCUUAUUUGCCAGCGGGUUAAGCCGGGAACUUUAAGGAUACUGCCAGUGACAAACUGGAGGAAGGCGGGGACGACGUCAAGUCAUCAUGGCCCUUACGACCAGGGCUACACACGUGCUACAAUGGUAGGUACAGAGGGUUGCUACACAGCGAUGUGAUGCUAAUCUCAAAAAGCCUAUCGUAGUCCGGAUUGGAGUCUGCAACUCGACUCCAUGAAGUCGGAAUCGCUAGUAAUCGCGGAUCAGAAUGCCGCGGUGAAUACGUUCCCGGGCCUUGUACACACCGCCCGUCACACCAUGGGAGUCUAUUGCACCAGAAGUAGGUAGCCUAA
rnacentral:rRNA from 1 species